GGGGCUGAUUCUGGAUUCGACGGGAUUUGCGAAACCCAAGGUGCAUGCCGAGGGGCGGUUGGCCUCGUAAAAAGCCGCAAAAAAAUAGUCGCAAACGACGAAAACUACGCUUUAGCAGCUUAAUAACCUGCUUAGAGCCCUCUCUCCCUAGCCUCCGCUCUUAGGACGGGGAUCAAGAGAGGUCAAACCCAAAAGAGAUCGCGCGGAUGCCCUGCCUGGGGUUGAAGCGUUAAAACGAAUCAGGCUAGUCUGGUAGUGGCGUGUCCGUCCGCAGGUGCCAGGCGAAUGUAAAGACAGACUAAGCAUGUAGUACCGAGGAUGUAGGAAUUUCGGACGCGGGUUCAACUCCCGCCAGCUCCACAA
rnacentral:tmRNA from 1 species